rnacentral:rRNA from 1 species
CGCGUAGGCGGUUAUUUAAGUGAGAUGUGAAAUCCCUGGGCUUAACCUAGGAACUGCAUCUCAUACUGGAUAGCUAGAGUAUUGUAGAGGGUAGUGGAAUUUCCGGUGUAGCGGUGAAAUGCGUAGAGAUCGGAAGGAACACCAGUGGCGAAGGCGGCUACCUGGACAAAUACUGACGCUGGGGCGCGAAAGCGUGGGGAGCAAACA